UACGUAGGGUGCAAGCGUUGUCCGGAAUUAUUGGGCGUAAAGAGCUCGUAGGCGGUUUGUCGCGUCUGCCGUGAAAGUCCGGGGCUCAACUCCGGAUCUGCGGUGGGUACGGGCAGACUAGAGUGAUGUAGGGGAGACUGGAAUUCCUGGUGUAGCGGUGAAAUGCGCAGAUAUCAGGAGGAACACCGGUGGCGAAGGCGGGUCUCUGGGCAGUAACUGACGCUGAGGCACGAAGGCCAGGGGAGCAAACGGG
rnacentral:rRNA from 1 species